GAUGAACGCUGGCGGCGUGCUUAACACAUGCAAGUCGAACGAUGAAGCCCAGCUUGCUGGGUGGAUUAGUGGCGAACGGGUGAGUAACACGUGAGUAUCCUGCCCUUAACUCUGGGAUAAGCCUGGGAAACUGGGUCUAAUACCGGAUAGGAGCGUCCACCGCAUGGUGGGUGUUGGAAAGAUUUAUCGGUUUUGGAUGGACUCGCGGCCUAUCAGCUUGUUGGUGAGGUAAUGGCUCACCAAGGCGACGACGGGUAGCCGGCCUGAGAGGGUGACCGGCCACACUGGGACUGAGACACGGCCCAGACUCCUACGGGAGGCAGCAGUGGGGAAUAUUGCACAAUGGGCGCAAGCCUGAUGCAGCGACGCCGCGUGAGGGAUGACGGCCUUCGGGUUGUAAACCUCUUUCAGUAGGGAAGAAGCGAAAGUGACGGUACCUGCAGAAGAAGCACCGGCUAACUACGUG
rnacentral:rRNA from 1 species